GAGUUUGAUCAUGGCUCAGGACGAACGCUGGCGGCGUGCUUAACACAUGCAAGUCGAACGGAAAGGCCCUGCUUUUGUGGGGUGCUCGAGUGGCGAACGGGUGAGUAACACGUGAGUAACCUGCCCUUGACUUUGGGAUAACUUCAGGAAACUGGGGCUAAUACCGGAUAGGAGCUCCUGCUGCAUGGUGGGGGUUGGAAAGUUUCGGCGGUUGGGGAUGGACUCGCGGCUUAUCAGCUUGUUGGUGGGGUAGUGGCUUACCAAGGCUUUGACGGGUAGCCGGCCUGAGAGGGUGAUCGGCCACAUUGGGACUGAGAUACGGCCCAGACUCCUACGGGAGGCAGCAGUGGGGAAUAUUGCACAAUGGGCGGAAGCCUGAUGCAGCAACGCCGCGUGCGGGAUGACGGCCUCGGUU
rnacentral:rRNA from 1 species